UUGCCCCAGUAACGGCGAGUGAAGCGGCAGCAGCUCAGAUUUGAAAUCCGGCCCCCCCCCCGGGGGGCCCCAAUUUUAAUUUGCAGAAGAAGCUUCCGGCGCCGCGCCCUCCCAAUUCCCUGGAACGGGACGCCCAAAAAGGUGAAAACCCCCUCCGGUCCGAACCCCAACCCCUGCGAAACUCCCUCCACCAAUCCAGUAAUUUGGGAAUGGUGGUCCAAACGGGAAGUAUUUGUCUUCUAAGGGUUAAUACCGGGCCAAAACCGAUUGCGCCCAAAUAAAAUGAUCGAAAGAUGAAAAAGCACUUUGGAAAGAGGGUUAAACAGUACGUGAAAUUGUUGAAAGGGAAGCGCUCGCGGCCAGAAUCGGGCCCCGGCGGAUCACCCGGCGUUCUCGCCGGUGCACUCCGCCCGGGGCGCCGGGCCCAGCAUCGGCCCCGCGGCGGGGGAGAAAGGCGCCGGGAACGUGGCUCCCCCAGGGAGUGUUAUAGCCCGGCGUGCCAUGCCCCCGCGGCGGGCCGAGGUCCGCGCUCACGCAAGGAUGCUGGCGUAAUGGCCGCCAGCGACCCGUCUUGAAACACGGACCAAGGAGUCGUCCUCGCAUGCGAGUGUUCGGGUGUCAAACCCCUACGCGGAAUGAAAGUGAACGCUGGUGAGAGCCCCUCGGGGCGCAUCAUCGACCGAUCCUGAUGUCCUCGGAAGGAUUCGAGUAGGAGCAUGCGGGGCCGGACCCGAAAGAAGGUGAACUAUGCCUGCGUAGGGUGAAGCCAGAGGAAACUCUGGUGGAGGCUCGCAGCGGUUCUGACGUGCAAAUCGAUCGUCAAACGUGGGCAUGGGGGCGAAAGACUAAUCGAACCUUCUAGUAGCUGGUUUC
rnacentral:rRNA from 1 species